UUCAAAAAGUUUCCCUUUAAUUUUUUGUGACUUAAUUUUUAUUUCAGCAAAAUAUUCUAUAUGAAUUAGAGUGACAAAGUAAAAAUUUUUAAUAAACCACAGAAUAACAAAGUAAAAUAUGUGCUAAAUCACAAAGGACAAAAUGCAACAUUUUGAACCAUAGAAUGGUAAAAUAAAAAUAAGCUAAACUACAAAGAGGAAAAGUGAAACCUUUUAAACCGCAGGAUCACAAACUAAGAGUGCAUAUAAAG
rnacentral:lncRNA from 1 species